rnacentral:rRNA from 1 species
UCCCGGAUACGCGCGUAAGCAGAAAGAUUUAUCGCCGAAGGAGCGGCCCGCGUCCGAUUAGCUAGUUGGUGAGGUAAUGGCUCACCAAGGCGACGAUCGGUAGCUGGUCUGAGAGGAUGAUCAGCCACACUGGGACUGAGACACGGCCCAGACUCCUACGGGAGGCAGCAGUGGGGAAUAUUGGACAAUGGGCGCAAGCCUGAUCCAGCCAUGCCGCGUGAGUGAUGAAGGCCCUAGGGUUGUAAAGCUCUUUCGCCAGGGACGAUAAUGACGGUACCUGGAUAAGAAGCCCCGGCUAACUUCGUGCCAGCAGCCGCGGUAAUACGAAGGGGGCUAGCGUUGUUCGGAAUCACUGGGCGUAAAGCGCACGUA